rnacentral:rRNA from 1 species
GAUGAACGCUGGCGGCGUGCCUAACACAUGCAAGUCGAGCGAACACACGAGGAGCUUGCUCCCCUGACGGUAGCGGCGGACGGGCGAGUAACACGUGGAUAACCUACCUAUUAGACUGGGAUAAUAUCGGGGAACAGGUGCUACUAACGGAUAAUAUAUCGAACCGCAUGGUUCAAGAGUUAAAGACGCUUUUCGUGUCAGUUAUAGCCGAAUCCGGGCCGCAUUAGCUAGUUGGUAAGGUAACGGCAUACCAAGGCUACGAUGCGUAGCCGAUCUGAGAGGGUGAUCGGCCACACUGGAACUGAGACACGGUCCAGACUCCUACGGGAGGCAGCAGUAGGGAAUCUUCCGCAAUGGGCGAAAGCCUGACGUAGCAACACCGCGUGAGUGAUGAAGGUCUUCGGAUCGUAAAGCUCUGUUGUUAGGAAAGAACAAAAGCGUAUGUACCUAUGCACGUCUUGACGGUACCUAAACAAUAAGCAACGGCUAACUACGUG